rnacentral:rRNA from 1 species
GAUGAACGCUGGCGGCGUGCCUAAUACAUGCAAGUCGAGCGAACAGACGAGGAGCUUGCUCCUCUGACGUUAGCGGCGGACGGGUGAGUAACACGUGGAUAACCUACCUAUAAGACUGGGAUAACUUCGGGAAACCGGAGCUAAUACCGGAUAAUAUAUUGAACCGCAUGGUUCAAUAGUGAAAGACGGCUUUGCUGUCACUUAUAGAUGGAUCCGCGCCGCAUUAGCUAGUUGGUAAGGUAACGGCUUACCAAGGCAACGAUGCGUAGCCGACCUGAGAGGGUGAUCGGCCACACUGGAACUGAGACACGGUCCAGACUCCUACGGGAGGCAGCAGUAGGGAAUCUUCCGCAAUGGGCGAAAGCCUGACGGAGCAACGCCGCGUGAGUGAUGAAGGUCUUCGGAUCGUAAAACUCUGUUAUUAGGGAAGAACAAAUGUGUAAGUAACGAUGCACGUCUGGAAGGUACCUAAUCAGAAAGCCACGGCUAACUACGU